rfam:Echinostoma caproni strain Egypt genome assembly, scaffold: ECPE_scaffold0004036
GCAGUACUGAUGAGUCCCAAACAGGACGAAACAGCUGUUCAGUGC